AUGGCUCAGGAUGAACGCUAGCUACAGGCUUAACACAUGCAAGUCGAGGGGCAGCAUUGGAGUAGCAAUACUCAGAUGGCGACCGGCGCACGGGUGAGUAACACGUAUCCAACCUGCCGCUUACUCGGGGAUAGCCUUUCGAAAGAAAGAUUAAUACCCGAUGGUAUAAAGAGUUCGCAUGUUCUCUUUAUUAAAGAAUUUCGGUAAGCGAUGGGGAUGCGUUCCAUUAGAUAGUUGGCGGGGUAACGGCCCACCAAGUCUACGAUGGAUAGGGGUUCUGAGAGGAAGGUCCCCCACAUUGGAAUUGAGACACGGUCCAAACUCCUACGGGAGGCAGCAGUGAGGAAUAUUGGUCAAUGGACGAGAGUCUGAACCAGCCAAAGUAGCGUGAAGGAUGACUGCCCUAUGGGUUGUAAACUUCUUUUAUAAGGGAAUAAAGUGAGGGACGUGUCCCUUUUUGUAUGUACCUUAUGAAUAAGGAUCGGCUAACUCCGUGCCAGCCGCGGC
rnacentral:rRNA from 1 species